AGUGAACGCUGGCGGUAGGCCUAACACAUGCAAGUCGAACGAGUGGCGGACGGGUGAGGAAUACAUCGGAAUCUACCCUGUCGAGGGGGAUAACGAAGGGAAACUUACGCUAAUACCGCAUACGAUUGAAUGUGCCGAGGUCGGAUUAGCUAGUUGGUGGGGUAACGGCUCACCAAGGCGACGAUCCGUAGCUGGUCUGAGAGGAGGAUCAGCCACACUGGAACUGAGAAACGGUCCAGACUCCUACGGGAGGCAGCAGUGGGGAAUAUUGGACAAUGGGCGCAAGCCUGAUCCAGCCAUGCCGCGUGUGUGAAGAAGGCCUUCGGGUUGUAAAGCCCUUUUGUUGGGAAGGCGGUACCCGAAGAAGAAGCACCGGCUAACUUCGUGCCAGCAGCCGCGGUAAUAC
rnacentral:rRNA from 1 species